rnacentral:misc_RNA from 1 species
CUCUAUCUUCCCUGUAUUAAUCUCACCUCUCUAUCUCUCUCUAAAAUUUUUCUCUCCUUUUCCUAUUUUCCUCCUUCAAUCAAUCAGUCUCUCCAUUUAGAGGAAUUUGGAAUGAUGGAUGUUAAAGGCAGAAACAGCAACCACAAGAAUAGCUCCUCCUCUUCCUCCUCCUCCACCACACAAAGUGAAGAGGAGAUGGGUGACUUAAGAAGAGGUCCUUGGACUGCUGAAGAAGACUUCAAGCUCAUCAAUUACAUUGCUGCUUACGGAGAGGGUCGCUGGAACUCCCUCGCUCGCUGCGCAGGCCUUAAACGAACCGGAAAGAGCUGCAGAUUAAGAUGGCUCAACUACUUAAGACCUGACGUUCGACGUGGUAAUAUCACCCUCGAAGAACAACUCAUGAUCCUCGAGCUUCAUUCACGAUGGGGCAAUCGAUGGUCCAAGAUCGCGCAACACUUGCCAGGAAGAACCGACAAUGAAAUCAAGAACUACUGGAGAACCCGUGUCCAAAAGCACGCUAAGCAGCUUAAAUGUGACGUGAA